AACGAACGCUGGCGGCAUGCCUAACACAUGCAAGUCGAACGAGACCUUCGGGUAUAGUGGCGAACGGGUGCGUAACGCGUGGGAACCUGCCCGUAGGUUCGGAAUAACUCCCCGAAAGGGGUGCUAAUACCGGAUAAUGUCUUCGGACCAAAGAUUUAUCGCCUUUGGAUGGGCACGCGUUGGAUUAGCUAGUUGGUAGGGUAAAAGCCUACCAAGGCGACGAGCCAUAGCUGGUCUGAGAGGAUGAUCAGCCACACUGGGACUGAGACACGGCCCAGACUCCUACGGGAGGCAGCAGUGGGGAAUCUUGGACUAUGGGCGAAAGCCUGAUCCAGCAAUGCCGCGUGAGUGAUGAAGGCCUUAGCGUUGUAACGCUCUUUUACCCGGGAUGAUAAUGACAGUACCGGGAGAAUAAGCUCCGGCUAACUCCGUG
rnacentral:rRNA from 1 species